AAAUGUAUGUUGACGUAUUCUGAAAGGGAUACUUCUUCGGACAAUAUACAAGGUGCUGCAUGGUUGUCGUCAGCUCGUGCCGUGAGGUGUCGGGUUAAGUCCCAUAACGAGCGCAACCCCUAUCAUUAGUUGCCAUCAGGUCAAGCUGGGGACUCUAAUGAAACUGCCUACGCAAGUAGUGAGGAAGGCGGGGAUGACGUCAAAUCAGCACGGCCCUUACGUCCAGGGCUACACACGUGUUACAAUGGUCGGUACAAAGGGUUGCCAAGCCGCGAGGUGGAGCUAAUCCCAUAAAACCGAUCGUAGUCCGGAUCGCAGUCUGCAACUCAACUGCGUGAAGUCGGAAUCGCUAGUAAUCGUGAAUCAGAAUGUCACGGUGAAUACGUUCCCGGGCCUU
rnacentral:rRNA from 1 species